UACGUAGGGGGCUAGCGUUGUCCGGAAUUAUUGGGCGUAAAGAGCUCGUAGGCGGUUUGUCGCGUCGAAUGUGAAAUCCCCGGGGCUCAACCCCGGGUCUGCAUUCGAUACGGGCAGACUAGAGUUCGGUAGGGGAGACUGGAAUUCCUGGUGUAGCGGUGAAAUGCGCAGAUAUCAGGAGGAACACCGGUGGCGAAGGCGGGUCUCUGGGCCGAUACUGACGCUGAGGAGCGAAAGCGUGGGGAGCGAACAGG
rnacentral:rRNA from 1 species